GGGCCCUCGAAAUCCUGUGGCGAGAGGAUUCAGUCUGGGGCGUCGGCCGUGCAGAUCGGAAAUCCCGGUAGGGCUUCCCCGAGCGGGGGCCGUCCGGUCGCACGCAGCGCCGUCGCACCCGACGCAUUUGUCUCUCGUCCGAAGGACGCCGCAGCCGGCUGGGUAGUGCAAGCGCGACGACCUGAGGGGCGGAAGAUGGCAGGUGGCCGCUGGCGUGCCUCGUGCGCGUCGGCGGUUGUUAGCCGUUCCGUCAGUGGUCCGUCACCCGGCCGAGGUGUCGCGAGGCCCUUCGGGGCCUCAUCGUCUCCUCCCCAGAGAUGCGGGUCGGAGCGUCGCAGGUGGAAUCCGUCGUCCCGUUCGCACCCCUCCGGGGUGGUCGGGCGAACGGAGGCCUCCGUUGGUGGCGCCGGACCCGUUGGAGGCCGGAGGCUUGCGGCGAGUAGGUCGGUCACCCACCCGACCCGUCUUGAAACACGGACCAANNNNNNNNNNNNNNNNNNNNNNNNNNNNNNNNNNNNACUUUAAAUGGGUGAGAAGUCCGCCUUGCUUGAUCGAAGGCCGGACGUUCCGGAUGAGAGUGCCCAGUGGGCCACUUUUGGUAAGCAGAACUGGCGCUGUGGGAUGAACCAAACGCCGGGUUACGGCGCCCGAUGCGAGACGCUCAUGAGACCCCAUGAAAGGUGUUGGUUGCUCCAGACAGCAGGACGGUGGUCAUGGAAGUCGAAAUCCGCUAAGGAGUGUGUAACAACUCACCUGCCGAAGCAACUAGCCCUGAAAAUGGAUGGCGCUCCAGCGUCGAGCCCAUACCCGGCCGCCGCGGCAGAGCUCCGUCACGGAGGUUUACGCCGCGGUGAGUAGGAGGGUCGCGGCGGGGAGCGUUGAAGGUGCCGGGCGUGAGCCCGCCUGGAGCCCCCGUCGGUGCAGAUCUUGGUGGUAGUAGCAAAUACUCAAGUGAGAACCUUGAGGACUGAAGUUGGAGAAGGGUUCCAUGUGAACAGCAGUUGAACAUGGGUCAGUCGGCCCUAAGGGAUCGGAGAAAUCCGUUCCGAAGCGGGACCUUACACUCAGUACAGCAGUCCCGCUGCCGACCGAAAGGGAAUGGGGUCAAUAUUCCCCAACCCGGACACGGAGAUAGGGCUCUCGGGCCCAAGUGCGGUAACGCAACCGAACUCGGAGAAGUCGACGGAGGACCCGGGGAAGAGUUGUCUUUUCUUUGUAAGGGUUCGUGUCCCUGGAAUCGGCUCGUCCGGAGAUAGGGACGCUGUCCCCGUAAAAGCACCGCGGCUCUUGCGGUGUCCGGUCCGCCUCUGUCGGCCCUUGCAAAUCCGAGGGAGAUGGUGUGAUUUUCGUGCCGGACCGUACCCAUAUCCGCAGCAG
rnacentral:rRNA from 1 species